GGAUGUGAAGAUGAUAUGGCUGUGACAUCUGUCACCACAUUGAUCACCAAAGUUGAUUCUGUUGAUCUGACUGUCUAGGCAGGUGUCCCCUUCCUCCCUCACCACUCCAUGCACAUCCUUCCCAAAGCUGAGUUCUUGGUCAAAGAGGUUGACAGUCCCUUGAUAGAGGAACACUGUUCUUCAGUUAAGGGUACAUGAGUAGCUCUGGUUCCCCUGCUAGUACCUUUAGAACCUUCAAAACUUGAGGAAGAAGAAAGAGAGAGGAAGAGGGAGAGGG
rnacentral:snRNA from 1 species